UACGUAGGGAGCAAGCGUUGUCCGGAAUCAUUGGGCGUAAAGCGCGCGUAGGCGGCCCUGUAAGUCCGUUGUGAAAGUCAAAGGCUCAACCUUUGAAAGCCGAUGGAUACUGCAGGGCUAGAGUCCGGAAGAGGCGAGUGGAAUUCCUGGUGUAGCGGUGGGAUGCGCAGAUAUCAGGAGGAACACCAAUAGCGAAGGCAGCUCGCUGGGACGGUACUGACGCUAAGGCGCGAAAGCGUGGGGAGCGAACAGG
rnacentral:rRNA from 1 species